UGACCACUUGCAUAUGUAAGUUAAGCCCAUACGGACAGGCGGGUCAGCUGCCGA
rfam:Eubacterium sp. CAG:202 genomic scaffold, scf48